rnacentral:rRNA from 1 species
AGUGAACGCUGGCGGCAGGCCUAACACAUGCAAGUCGAGCGGCAGCGCGUCCGACCACCCUCGGGUGGUCGGAUGGCGGCGAGCGGCGGACGGGUGAGGAAUGCAUCGGAAUCUGCCUCGUUGUGGGGGAUAACGUAGGGAAACUUACGCUAAUACCGCAUACGACCUACGGGUGAAAGUGGGGGACCUUCGGGCCUCACGCGAUGAGAUGAGCCGAUGCCGGAUUAGCUAGUUGGCGGGGUAAAGGCCCACCAAGGCGACGAUCCGUAGCUGGUCUGAGAGGAUGAUCAGCCACACUGGAACUGAGACACGGUCCAGACUCCUACGGGAGGCAGCAGUGGGGAAUAUUGGGCAAUGGGCGAAAGCCUGACCCAGCAACGCCGCGUGGAGGAUGAAGGCUUUAGGGUUGUAAACUCCUUUUGUGGGGGAAAAGAAUGGAUGGUACCCCAAGAAUAAGUCACGGCUAACUACGUG